CCAUUCGCUGAGCUUUGCAUUUCUUCCCUUCCCCACAGCACAGGGCACAGGUGGAUUGUCAGGAAUUUUUCUUUCUUUCUUUAAGUUCUUCAAAAAGACAGCGCUGUGCCAGAUAAUUAUGUUGCUUUUUUAUCUUAUACUAGAUGCUAAUACUCAAACACUUCACCCCAUGAUGUGCAGAAUACGUUUCACCUGGAGAUGCCGCAUUGCACACAGCAUUCAUGGGGUUUCUCAACUUCAUUGUCUCUCGUAUGUUUUCAGUUUCUGAAGAAUCGUUACAGCUUCCAAAGUGUUUGUGAUGCUUGUUUUCUUCCCAGAUGUAUCUCAAGGUAGCAGCAGUGUGCAUUGCUUUUCCAACCCAAGCUACCACACUCUCUCGUGCGGUGUGACUUCACGCUUCUUUCCCCGUAAUCUGGAUGGGAGCAGCUCCAGUAAGGUAGAUAUGAUCCCACCCCACUGCAGCACUGUUCUUAUCAGUUCAAGGAAAUAAAGCAAAGCAAUGCCUGCUGGAUCCUGACAUGGUGGCUCUGAUGGACACAGCAGGGUCUGCCUUUCCUGCGUGUCUGUGUAAUCUCUGUGCCCUCUGAUGGGAGCGUCAGCCCGUGGUCAAUAAGCCUUGCUGCUUAAGCAGCUAUAGGCUAUGUUUGCAUCUCAGAAAAGAUAAAGAACCAGAUAAUCGUGAUUCUUCAUUAAUAUAAUGAAAGUAAAUCAAUGGAGCAUUAAGUCAGGAGUCUAACUUGGAUAAAUCGUCGUUUUCCAAAUCAGCAGACACACAGAUUUGUUGGCACAGAGAGAUACAGAAGGUGCUGGGGGUGAGCACUGUUUUCAUCCAGGGUGCUCAGAGCUGUGCUGUCCCUGAGCUCUUCAGAUUGGAAAUCUCAGACAUCCAGGAGGACAUCUCUGCGUGUUGCUAUUGAUUCCCUGGGACCACUCAUGGACUACACUGAAUUCACCACUUCAGCAAUAGACUGAGAUGUGAUAAAUAGUAAGGCAGCUCUUCCAUUGGAGACUUAAUAAGCCAAGGUGAUGCAAAGGAUAGGGAGCAGAAGAAAAAAGAAAUGCAGUUGAUUUCAUUAAGGCUGCAGCUUUAAAAAUGACGGUGCUUGCUGGCUGCAUUGGCUUCAUCCAAAUGUAGCUGUGGUCGCUGGGAAGCCACGAGAACAAAACUGGUGCCAAAAAGACACCACGUAAUGAAACAGGCUAUGCAAGAAUAUUUCCACUCGUGCUCCUGUUGGACAUUUCUUGGUUCUAAAAAAACCAAUCUCAUUAAACUGUAAUAACAAAGCUGGCUCUAGAGAUUUCACAGAGGAAAGUUUAGACAGAUGUGUAAAUAUGUUUUCUGAGGUGGAUGGUCCCCUUGCAUCGUGCAGCUUUGCUCCCCUAGUUGGAAGUGCAAAUGCUCAUAAUGUCAGAUUCAGGAUGAACACCAUGAGUGUGGAGUUGGACCUCUAAUCCUACUGCACUAAUUUCAGUGAAUUUGGAAAAGGUCAAAGCAAGCACCUAUCUCGAUUUCCCAGCCUGCAGCGCUAUCUGAUCACAGAGCAACUUCAAGUAUUUAGCUGCCAAAGAGGUAUGAAACCCACUGGUACACCUGGACAGGUGUGAAAGCUGCCCGCCUUGCGGCAGCGCUGCCUCUCGUAGUUGAUCAGCAGGUUGUCCUGGCAUUGAAAAAGAAGGAAAAAAAUGGGUCUGGUAUUUUUAGGGCACUUAUCAAAAUAUAUACCCUGACUGUUCCUUUACAUCACCCAGCAUCUAACUUAUUCAUGAGAAAGCUUUGCAGUGCUGAGUAGCUGAGGAUGGCCAAAAAUACGCAGCUCCUGUCUUGCUGUUCUCCAGCCAAGUAAGACAAAAGAGCAUAUAAAGCCCCUAAUGGCUGCAGUAACGAGUUUCAUUUCCUAAUCAGUUUGUCUGGUGCCAUUUCCACUUUCUGCAGGGAAAUGUGCACAAGCUGUACUUGGAGGAUUCAUUUCUUUCCUGUGCCAGCUGAGGUCACACAGGAACCAGCGCAGAUGCAAAAUGAAAAAAAAAAAUGGCAGAGGAAUCCUCUGAAGUGCUGCGGCAGAGUCCUGGGUGUGCUCUCCUCCCUGUGCUUAGAGGACCACCUUUCUGCUUUCCAUCCUGCUGCCCAGCCCAGCUCAGCAAGGCAGCAGGACACCCUGCACAGCCCCUCUAGGCUGGAAAGGUCUCACCUCCAUUUCCCCUCUGCCAGACAGUUGGCCACUGCUUGGGAUGCUGCCCAUGUCCUUACAGUAAAACUUAAAGCUGCUGAGACAAGUAGGAGCAGAGGUGUUGGAGAGUGUGCAGGGGAGUGCUGGUGCUGGAACACAUGCAGGCAAAAGCAGGUGGGAGGAUAAGGGGGAGCGUAUGAAGAGAGACUUCUUUUAUCUAGCAAAAUGAGUGCUGAGAGGGAGUGUGAUCGCCAUCUAUAAAUACAUAGGGUAAACAGUAGGAGGGAGAAGAGCUAUUUAAGUUAGAUAGCAGAGUUGGCACAAGAACAAAUGAGGAUCAACUGGCCAUGAAUGCAUCAAGGCUGGGAGUGAGAUUUCUAACAUCAGAUCAGUGAGAUUUUGGAACAGCUUCCCAGUAAAGGACAAAGAAACCUGUUAAAAUGGAGCUUGAUGUGUUAUCUAAGUAAUUACUUGCGAGGAUGUCUGCAGUGAAAGGCAGCCAGGCUCAGGUGCCCAGUGAUCAAAGCUGUUCCAUAACAUAAAGUCGGGGGCUGGGCUGUGUCACGGCCUGAGGAGGAGGAGGAGAGGCUCCUGCAUCCCAGUGCAGAUAGGACAAGGAUGCUGCUGUGCAGCUGUGCCAAGAGCAGAUGAGGUGUGCUCACCUCAGCGUUUCACUGAGCUCUUAAUUCCACCCUACCCAAUGAGAAGAACAGCCAGAGCCCAGGUGUUGCUGGCUUCUAGAGACAUCGUAAAAAUCAAUUGCUAUUAGGUGUCCUGAGCAGAAUUUUUAAAGCCAACAGAUUCACAUCUAUUAAAGGAAGUUCUAAACACUACCAAAGACUUCACAUAAAAUUAGAAAGAGCACAACAGAGGUCGCUGGAAAUGGACUUACUGGUUAUCACCCAACUGGUAAUGAACUCAGCCGCCAGAAGCGUUGCAAAGUAGCUCUGACUGAAACCCAUCAGGGAAAGACGACUGCAAACAGUUGGGGAAGGCCCUCUAAGGCUGAGAAACACAGACACCUGCAGCCAAUCAUUGGCAGCUGAUGGAAAGCACUCACCAGCUGCUUUUUGGGAAGAUACCAUGGCGUGGGUGCCCGCAAUUAUUUGCUUAAUUACUGUAGAUUCCUUAGAAAAGCUGAGUGUGGACAAAUAGUAUUCAGCUCCUUUCUGUGAUCUAUCCAGCCAGCUCUGAGGCACAGAUAACAGCUCUGCUUUACUCCUCUGAGUAACAAAAUCCUUGACAGAGAAACUGCAGACUGGAGACCCUACAGCUAUCUGAAUGAACUAGGUGCUUGUGGGAUGGAUAGACGUCAGAACACAUACAUAAUGGAAAAAAGCUUCAAAGAUUAUAUGAAGGAAUCUGUGUGCAGCUCCAGCACUUGUUCUCUGAACAGCAGUGAAAACCCAUACGCCACCAUUAAAGAUCCCCCCAUCUUAACAUGCAAACACUCUGAGAGCAGCUACGUGGAAAUGAAAUCGCCUGGUCACAGGGACUCCCCAUAUUCAGAAAUGCCAACUUCAUCAACAGCCAACAAAAACAUCUAUGAAGUUGAGCCCACCAUCAGCGUGGUCCAAGAUGCCCGUGCCCGGAGUGCCAGUUACCUCCAAAGUCCAUAUGACCUGCCUAGGAACAGUCACAUUCCUAGUCACUAUGACCUUCUCCCUGUAAGGCACAGCCCAACGCACGGGUCAUCUUGGGACAAGCAGUCUUAAAGGGAUGGACUUCACUGUGCUGCAAACACAAACUCUGAGGAAGCAAAGAGAAGACAAUCCUUUUCUGCACUGCAGGAUGUUGACAUGACUUUAGGCUGCAAGGACCUAGCAUAACUAAACAUCAGCUUGGGCCAGCUGCUGCUGCAUGAUGUUAUUUAAAAAGACUUUUUUUAUAUGGAUCACAAGAACUAAUGAGAACCUUCUCCAGAUGUUGCUGGAGUGCAUCACCCCUGGAAGGUGUCCACUUGCUCCAGGCAAAAGCUCUCUGCCAUGUGUAUUCUAACCCUGGCUUUGCUGUAAAAUAAAACACAACACACUGAGUAGGAGGACCUAGAGACAUACAUACAUUUAUACCAACUGCAUCAGAAAACCUUGUACCGUUAGGAACGCUGGAAUACAGUUUAUAUCUCUGUCAUGGAAAUGGACAUUUUUCUGAACGAAAGUGGGAAAGCUGCUUGUUUCACUGUCUGGAAACUUCAUUUACUGCCAUCACCAUGGGCAUCCUGUGCAGAUCAUGCUUGGUAAUCAGUGUAUCUUUGUAUUCAGUACCAGGGUACUGGAGUACAGGAAUAUCAAUGCAUUUUUAAAAUGUAGCACCUUGGCCAAUGUCCAGUGAUCUCUGUCAACAAUUUAAGUUUAAGCAAUGAGUCUCAUACCCAGCUUGCUGCACUUUGAACAAGCUAGAAAUAUUUUGGUACAGCUAUGCUUUAAUUUUCCUUGUACACCUUCUUUUUCAUUAGAUAAAUGCACAGCUUUUUUGGGUGGUGCAAACAGACACACCUUCACCUGCAUCCUGGGACGCUGUGGGUUUGCACAGACCAACCCUGGUUCAGUCUCCUAACAGUAGGAUGCAUUGGCUUCAUCAUUGGCAAACCACGUCACCAUGAUGCACCUGGCAGCAUGCCCUUCAUGACACCCUUUAAUUUGAUGUGCAUUACCAUGUAGUGCAUCUUUAUCUGUUAAUGAUUUUACCUGACAUGCCAUUACAUUGAGCUGAAAAUGGGUUUCUUUUUUCAGCAGCUGUUUGUGAAACAAUUAUCAAGGGGUUGACCUAUGGUAAAGCUUUGGACUAAGCCACCAUGAUUUUUUUUUUGUAAUCUUUAUUGACCUAGGAAGUAGAAUACUUGCUGUUAAGCAGUUCCUUGUAGAUUUUGAGCAUGAAGUAGUAUUGAUUCUAAGUAUGUAAUUUUACUAGGCAAACGCGGAAGUAGCAAGUUGCCUUUUAAAGAUUAAAAAAAUUCUGUUGCACAUUCACCAGUCUGAUGGAAGCAGAAGAGAACCAAGCCAACACCAAGCUGUUUGCUCUACACCUGACCACCAGUGGAGGCUGCUGACCUAGGGGACUGGUAUGAGGACCUGCUGCAUGGAGACAGCAGCUCAGAGCAGCUCCAUAUGACAGCAGACAUUGGAGCACCUCGGGUAGGGCAGCACCAUACCCCACAGCACCCCUGCAGCAGCCAAGAUAGCAGGGCCAGCUCUGAACCCCUACGUGCAAUCCAAGAGAUCCAGACAGCAGAGCUGAGCCCAGAGAUCCCCCCAGGCUUGCAGAGGAGCAGAUUUUCAUGUUUCAGGAUAACUCCAAAGUAUUUACAUGAAUGCUGCAUGUGUGCAUGGGGACAAUGACUGAUCAGCAAUAGUAGUUUUAUUUUCCAGGAAAGCCUUAUAUGAGAUGUAAUUAGGCACUUAUUUUGUAGGGCCAAGAGGGGUAUAUUUUGCAUACACGAAUGGAAAGACUUACCUCAAAAAUACCAAGAGAAAUGCAGUUUGAUGAGAAAUCCUCUGGUUAGAGGCCUACCUUGCCUUCUAGCACAAGCAGUCUCAGCUGCCCGCCUGACCAGGGUCUGUGUGUGUUGCUGUCAACAUUGAGAUGAGAGAGCAGAGAUGAGGCUCAGAUUUUUGUUUUGUUUUUUUUCAAAGCUGGAUUUUCAAUCCAAAUGCAACAAUGUGUAUAGAGCUUAACAGGAAAAAAAAAAGGAAAAAAACAACAAAGGAAGUACCUUCUUGUAUAUUAUUAGCAUUAGCUUAGAAAAUAGGCACCAAAAAGGCAAUACUUUUUUAAGGCAAGACAGAUUUGUAAUAUAUUUGUUCACUGUGCAAAGGUAUUCUACCUUGUACAAAAUAAAUCAAAUUUCUCUCAGUGUGUCUUUCUCAAACUUACUCAUUGGCAGACCAAAACUCCCAGCCCACGCUCAGGUUGAGUGCUCCAUUCGACAGUGCUGGUUACAGAGGAACUCACCAUGUCUUCAUGGAAAAUCUCACAGGCACUUUGCAAGCCAGAAGCUGUUUUUCUGUUGCAGGACUUCUCAAAAAACAUAAUGACAUAAUUCAGACUGAAAUUUUGAGCUCACUUUCAGUGAAGCCCAGCUUUAAAACAAAUAGUAGCUGGCAUGGUGUGCAUCUUUUGUACAACUCUUUCCAUAGCUCCUGUCUGCAGCAGCUGAACCUUAGCAGGUCUGAGCAAGACCUCAGUGAGGCAGAAACAAGGUGAUGACAGCUCCAUGUCUCUCUGCUGCUUACGCAAUGGCUCUCAGCCAUGUCCCAAUGGCACACAGUGACGCCAGCAGAUUGCAGUGCUUUUGGUGGGCACAGGAGGACACGGGACAGCAGUGACCCCAGGACCAGGCAAACCACAGCCAUCUCAGCAUCCGACUGUUCCCAAGGAGCCAAUCAAUAAAUCACAAGCAUGAAUUUGCAGCAGAAACACCUUUGGAAUUGAUGAUGCCAGGGCAAUGCAGCAGAUAGCUACAUACUGAAGCUUUUUCAAUAUUUGUGCUUCAUAUUUCUAAAGAUGCUGUUAACUAAAGCCCAGCAUGUAAUCCUCUUAUUUGACAAGCCACACUCAAUAAGUUAUUUAAGUCUGGAAACUCAUCAGGUUUGAACUGAUGGAAUAAGUAAUUCCAGCUUAAUAAAAAUGUCUUUACAUCAGAACAAUGCCACGUACUUUCUGCUCCAGUGUCAGAACUUCAACUGCCAUCACACGGGAACCACAGAUACCCACCAAACAGCUUCGGAGUUGUUAAGGUCAGGGCUUUCAGACAUGUAAAUGAGAGCAAAAGCUCUUGGUGAGAAAAUCCAAUUUUGCAGCACUAUGCAGGAGAUCCCACAAACUCAACUCAGACAGCUCAUUUCAGGGCUCAAAAGCUGUAUCUAUUAUGAUCAGUCACCUCCUAUUAGCAGAGAAGAGACGCUUCAGCACAGAAGGAACACCAAUUACAGCAGAGAUGAUUAACCAGCAGCUGAGUGGGAAUAAUAUCAUUAGGUCAGCAUCCAGACCAAUGCCUUGCGCUGCUUCUCCAGAAGUCCCCUGUUUCUCCUGAGCCCAGCCAUGGCUCAGAGCUCAGGACCAGCCACAGCCCUACAGCCAUUAGGAAAAGGUAUUACCAAAGCAUAAGACAGCAGGCAAAGGCUUCAAUGGCUAAGAAGUUACAGCCCUGUACACAUACCAUGUGAUUUUGCUGUCGAAGGCAGCAUAGCUUGCGAAGGCAUUACGAACUAUUGCAUGAAAAUUCUGGAUUCCCUAUUGCAGCAGUUCAUAAUUACAAAAUCAGUUUUUGCAAGGCAUUUCUGUCUAAGGCCUGUUUUGUGAUUACUGCUUGUAAAGUCCUGAUGAAAAUAAGAGUUCUUACAUUGCCUAAGAGCACACCCAGCCAUUGCACAGAUGCCCAGGACCACAACGCAAUGCUGCUUCUCACACAGUGGAGGAGGAAAUGCGUGCCCACACUGACUGCACAGGGCAAAGCUGGGGCUUGCAUUCCAGCAGGCUCUGCUGCAUUCAGAUUUACUGCAGAAGGAAGCUUCUUGCAUAAAGCCAUAAGAAAUCCAAGCUUGACGUGACAGCUGAGUCAGGCUGCUGGCUAAGUGAAUCAGAAAAGGAACCAAAGCAGAACUCACCCUACAUUUCCAGUUGGCAGAUUUAUGGCUUGGCUGCCACAGUAAUGAAUGUAAUUGUAAAAUACACUGCUGCCUGGCCACAGUGCUCUUCACAGAAUAGAAAAGUGAGGAUGGUCCCCAUUUUAUACCUUCUCCUGACUCUGGCAAUACCAAGACCCUAAGUGCUGGUUCAGACGGAAGGAUUCAGUGCUGCCACGUGCUCUUGGCAUGACUUCCAAAAAUCACAAUGCUCAGUAGGCUGGCUCCUACAGCACCACUCGUUCAGAGAAGGCAACAAGAUGGGAUCAAACAGCUGAAGUAAUUCGCUGUAGAAGGCAGCAGUCUGUCAUUCCACAGGAUUUUCUUACUGGUGGUAAUGUGGAAAAAUGAGGUUUGUAAAAGCUAUUCAGGAAUUUGACAAGAAAGUGUCUCAUUUUUACACCAUAAAAGCUUCUAAAGCAGACAAAUUGCCAUGAACUGCAUCAGCCCCUAAAAGCUGCAGACCUGGUCCCAAUAUGUGGCCCUUUCAGUUCCUCUUCUGGAAGUACUUCCACUUUGGUGUCUCCUCCCAGUUCCAAGAAAUUUACUAGCAAGUAAAAACAUUAGAGUCAAAUCCUGCUUCUCCCAAAAAGUGCACCCAACACCACACCGAGUUGUCCCCUGUAAUUCUUUAUUAGAAUCAUGGAUGAAUAUAUUUUAAAUCAAUCUAAAAAAAUAAUGAAUCAAGUUACAGUACAUGCAUAAAAUACAAAGUAAUUUACAAACAGAUCAAAAUAGCAUCUUCAGAACUAAUAUUAGGAGGAGAAAUGGAUUUAAAAAAAAAAGUGACCGAC